UACGUAGGGUGCGAGCGUUGUCCGGAAUUCUUGGGCGUAAAGGGCUCGUAGGCGGUUUGUCGCGUCGGGAGUGAAAACCUCGGGCUUAACUCGGGGCUUGCUUUCGAUACGGGCAGACUGGAGGUAUGCAGGGGAGAACGGAAUUCCUGGUGUAGCGGUGAAAUGCGCAGAUAUCAGGAGGAACACCGGUGGCGAAGGCGGGUCUCUGGGUAGUAACUGACGCUGAGGAACGAAAGCGUGGGUAGCGAACAGG
rnacentral:rRNA from 1 species